rnacentral:rRNA from 1 species
CAUAUCAAUAAGCGGAGGAAAAGAUACCAACCGGGAUUGCCUUAGUAACGGCGAGUGAAGCGGCAAAAGCUCAAAUUUGAAAUCUGGUACCUUUGGUGCCCGAGUUGUAAUUUGGAGAGGGCAACUUUGGGACCGUUCCUUGUCUAUGUUCCUUGGAACAGGACGUCAUAGAGGGUGAGAAUCCCGUGUGGCGAGGAGUGCGGUUCUAUGUAAAGUGCCUUCGAAGAGUCGAGUUGUUUGGGAAUGCAGCUCUAAGUGGGUGGUAAAUUCCAUCUAAAGCUAAAUAUUGGCGAGAGACCGAUAGCGAACAAGUACAGUGAUGGAAAGAUGAAAAGAACUUUGAAAAGAGAGUGAAAAAGUACGUGAAAUUGUUGAAAGGGAAGGGCAUUUGAUCAGACAUGGUGUUUUGCGCCCUCUGCUCCUUGUGGGUGGGGGAAUCUCGCAGUUCACUGGGCCAGCAUCAGUUUUGGUGGCAGGAUAAAUCCGUAGGAAUGUAACUUGCUUCGGGAAGUAUUAUAGCCUAUGGGAAUACUGCCAGCUGGGACUGAGGACUGCGACGUAAGUCAAGGAUGCUGG